rnacentral:rRNA from 1 species
GAACGUGCUUGCACGGACUUGACGUUGGUUUACCACCGAGUGGCGGACGGGUGAGUAACACGUAGGUAACCUGCCCCAAAGCGGGGGAUAACAUUUGGAAACAGAUGCUAAUACCGCAUAACAAUUUGAAUCGCAUGAUUCAAAUUUAAAAGAUGGCUUCGGCUAUCACUUUGGGAUGGACCUGCGGCGCAUUAGCUUGUUGGUAGGGUAACGGCCUACCAAGGCUGUGAUGCGUAGCCGAGUUGAGAGACUGAUCGGCCACAAUGGAACUGAGACACGGUCCAUACUCCUACGGGAGGCAGCAGUAGGGAAUCUUCCACAAUGGGCGCAAGCCUGAUGGAGCAACACCGCGUGAGUGAAGAAGGGUUUCGGCUCGUAAAGCUCUGUUGUUAGAGAAGAACGUGCGUGAGAGCAACUGUUCACGCAGUGACGGUAUCUAACCAGAAAGUCACGGCUAACUACGUGCCAGCAGCCGCGGUAAUACGUAGGUGGCAAGCGUUAUCCGGAUUUAUUGGGCGUAAAGCGAGCGCAGGCGGUUUGAUAAGUCUGAUGUGAAAGCCUUUGGCUUAACCAAAGAAGUGCAUCGGAAACUGUCAGACUUGAGUGCAGAAGAGGACAGUGGAACUCCAUG